GUCCACGCUGUAAACGAUGUGCACUAGGCGUGGGGCCCGUACGGGUUCUGUGCCGUAGUUAACGUGUUAAGUGCACCGCCUGGGGAGUAUGCUCGCAAGGGUGAAACUCAAAGGAAUUGACGGGGGCCCGCACAAGCGGUGGAGCAUGUGGUUUAAUUCGAUGGUACACGAGGAACCUUACCAGGGCUUGACAUGUGCGUGAAUGUUCACGAGAGUGGGCAGCCCGCAAGGGCGCGCACAUAGGUGCUGCAUGGCUGUCGU
rnacentral:rRNA from 1 species